GAGUGUGGAUACUUUUGAUCCUCCAAAAGAUUAUGGCAGUCCUAAGUAGAUAUCAUUCCCACCAUCUUAGACAAUUUAUGUUUUCUGUUUUAUGGCUUCUCUUCUGUGUUGUGGGAUUUUCUUUCCAAAGUACACACUGAAUUUUUGAUAAUUAAUCCUUUGCCAUGAAGCUAAGUUGUAUUUCUUUAGAAUUUCCAUCAGCUGGUGAAUCUCUGCAUCAUUUUCUUUGCAGUAGAACAUGUUGUCAUCAGCAAAGAAAAGAUGAGAGAUUGA
rnacentral:lncRNA from 1 species